AGUGAACGCUGGCGGCAGGCCUAAUACAUGCAAGUCGAACGGCAGCACAGCAGAGCUUGCUCUGUGGGUGGCGAGUGGCGGACGGGUGAGGAAUACGUGGGAAUCUGCCCAGUCGUGGGGGAUAACGUAGGGAAACUUACGCUAAUACCGCAUGCGCCCUUCGGGGGAAAGCCGGGGACCUUCGGGCCUGGCGCGAUUGGAUGAGCCCACGUCGGAUUAGCUAGUUGGCGGGGUAAAGGCCCACCAAGGCGACGAUCCGUAGCUGGUCUGAGAGGACGAUCAGCCACACUGGAACUGAGACACGGUCCAGACUCCUACGGGAGGCAGCAGUAGGGAAUAUUGGACAAUGGGCGCAAGCCUGAUCCAGCCAUGCCGCGUGAGUGAAGAAGGCCCUCGGGUUGUAAAGCUCUUUUGUCCGGGAAGAAAGCGCCGGGUUAAUACCCUGGUGUCCUGACGGUACCGGAAGAAUAAGCACCGGCUAACUCGUGCCAGCAGCCGCGGU
rnacentral:rRNA from 1 species